UCCAAAUUAUGCUAUGAAAAGAAUCUUGUAGACAAGAAAAAAGUAAUGAUAAUUAACUGAACUAAAGCUUUUAUUUUAAUAAAACGUCAUGUCCUACUUCACGUCCUUAAAGUUGGGAGCUGAUCGGAUUAUUACCAAGCUUAUUGGAAAUUUUUAGCUGAUUUCUGAAAGAGCUGGAUUUUGGCACGGUACUGUUCUCUGAAACCAAGGAUACAUUUCUUUCUUUUACCUGGCAUCUCUAAGGAUUUAGAAACCACUGAGUAUAUUUUGAAUGCUGUCAGAAUGUGACAAAGUUGAUGACACAGCAUGUACUAAAAUGCAGUAAUGCCUUUCAUGCAGUUAAAGGUAGGUCAGUAGGAAAGCAAGAAGAAAUCUGCAAUGGUGUCUCUAUCCUUCAAUUCAGUUUUUCGGUGUAUUAUUUCAGACCUUUUAGCUUCCAGAAGAGCAAUUGUAACAAGCAUUAAAUUCAAAAUACUUUAAGAACUACUCAUGUUUAAGAAUGAAAAGCAAAAGCACAAGGUAAGUUUCACUUCAGAUAAAACAGUAUAAUUAAUAAUAAUAAUAAAACAUAUUUAACACGUGCUUUUCUUCUUGUUGUUUCAAAAUAAGGAACAAAUAAAAUAGAAUUAAAUAGGAUGCUUGUGAACAUACAAAAUGCCCUCCCUUCAGAAAGGAACUUGGAAAAGGUCCAUCAUCAGACACCCCUAUAAAAGGCAGUUCAAUUAGCUGAUUAACAAAUAUGUGCUAAAACUGACAAGAACACGAGAAAAGGGUUGUGUGCUUUGGAGGCCUACCUAGUAAAGCUGUAUACCUGAUGUGUCACAUCCGACUGUGCUUUGUGCAGAAUAUCUAGAAAGCCCACCAAAAUAUACAACCACUUUCAGUUCAGUUUAUUGGAGCCCUUGUGGUUAAACAUUUUCUGUUAACUACAUGGUUUCACAGUAACUUGAAAGGAAAAGAGACCUGCCAAACAGCAUUCCUUUAACUUAAAGCACAUAAAAAAGCAGUGAGAGGCAGAAAAGCAGUUUAUUUUAUACAGAUUUUAAAAAAUAAGCUUUAAACAGGCUGGCAAAACAAUAGUGGCAAGUCCUGGCAUUAGUGAAAAAUGAAGAAUAUAAUUUCAUUUGAGUGAAGAAAAAGUGCCUGGAAAAAAAUAAAUUAAAUACAUACAAGAUUUAUCAUGAAGGAGGACCGCAAAAUAAGCCAGCCUUUCAUAUAUAUAAAGUUUUCCAAUGAUCAGUGUCAGGUAAUAGCGCUGAUAUUUAAUGGAAAGAUGUUACAACCUCAUAUUUUAACAGGAAUGUGCAGCAAAUUCAUUUGUUUUCUACUGUAACUAUAAAUGUGUGGCAAACAGCUGUCAUGUUGCUAGAGAAAGGAUUGUUCUUAUUUUAUUGACAAAAAAAAAAAAUGUAAAUAAGCAAUCUAAUACAACCUUAUGAAAAAUCAGACCCUAAUAGCUAAGGCAAAGGAUUACUACCUUAAAUUUUAUUUCUGCCUGGACUGACAUAAUUUAUGGACUGUGAUAACAUUUUCAAAAUUCUCUGAGCUGCAGGUUUCUAAAGGAAAUAUUUAUUUCAUUAGUAUAAAUAUUUAUUUCAUGAGUAUUUAGAAAAGCUAAUUACCAAUGAAAGGGAAGAAUACUCCUUGGAAAUUAAAACUUGAGCUUGGUACAGGUUCUUCCCUAACAUUAGAAACAGACAGGAGCUGAUCAUGCCAAAGGUCUUUCUUCUGUGGCCUCAGAAGCAGAAACUUCAGCUCCUUUUUAAGUUUGUCUUACAGUGUUUUGGAAUGUGCAUGAUCCAUUAUGGCAUAUGUUAUCCCUGGCCUAGAGAAAUUUUGCAGAGGCAACCUUCUUCAGCAGUUAUUUAGGCCACCGUGCAGGGAUCUCAUCCAGAUUACUGAUAUGCUGUAACAGAACAAUGCACCUACAUGAAAACUAAUACAUUUCCAUUGGUCUUCUCUAUAAAGAUUUUCCCAUUCUUUUUAAUCAGUCAUAUCAGUCAUUUUAAAAGAUGAACUUUCACAAAAGAAAAAAAAAAAAAAAAAGAUAAAAUUGGAGCCAAUAAAAUUGUCUGCAUUAGAAACUUUUAUAAAACUACUAUUCUUCAAAUGAUUAUAUCUGCAUUAAAGUAUCAAUAAUUGCUGUGUAGUUACUGCAUAUAAACAGAUCACAAAAAUAUGCCUUUGUAAUAUAUACACCAUUAACAAGUAAAACACAUCAGGAAAUGUGCCUGCUUUGCAAACUACCCCAUCACUCUCCACACUCUCACAAAGCUGCCGUAAAACAUUGAAAAAACAUUUUUCCACAAAUGUUUGCUACGCCCUGACUGGUUAUUUUCUACAGAUUUAACUGACUGCACAAAGUACAAUUCAAUGGUGAAAGAGGCCCGUUCUUUACGCAAAGGUCACUUGUAUACAUACAUUUUAGAUACAACACUUCCUUGCUAAAGAGAGAAUGUUCGUAAUCAAACCUGUUAUAAAAUACCUGAAAACA